CCGGCGAGUGGCGAACGGGUGAGUAACACGUAUCCAACCUGCCGAUGACUCGGGGAUAGCCUUUCGAAAGAAAGAUUAAUACCCGAUGGCAUAGUUCUUCCGCAUGGUGGAACUAUUAAAGAAUUUCGGUCAUCGAUGGGGAUGCGUUCCAUUAGGUUGUUGGCGGGGUAACGGCCCACCAAGCCUUCGAUGGAUAGGGGUUCUGAGAGGAAGGUCCCCCACAUUGGAACUGAGACACGGUCCAAACUCCUACGGGAGGCAGCAUG
rnacentral:rRNA from 1 species